rnacentral:sRNA from 1 species
UCCUGAAGACGGACAGUGACUCGGACCUACAGCUCUACAAGGAACAGGGUGAGGGGCAGGGUGACCGGAGCCUGCGGGAGCGUGAUGUGCUGGAACGGGAGUUUCAGCGGGUCACCAUCUCUGGGGAGGAGAAGUGUGGGGUGCCGUUCACAGACCUGCUGGAUGCAGCCAAGAGUGUGGUGCGGGCGCUCUUCAUCCGGGAGAAGUACAUGGCCCUGUCCCUGCAGAGCUUCUGCCCCACGACCCGCCGCUACCUGCAGCAGCUGGCUGAAAAGCCUCUGGAGACCCGGACCUAUGAACAGGGCCCCGACACCCCUGUGUCUGCUGGUGGGACUCCCCAUCUCUGCCCCAUGCCAUGUGCCCUAGCCUCCUGGGCUUCUCAGCCUGGUGCCUGGGCACCUCUGCCCUGCCUGCCUCUCCCUACAACCCAGGCUCAUUCCAACCUCUUGGGGUACAGGGGUGGAGGUUGGGCAGGAGCUGUCUGACCUACUGGGUCUUCAACAUCUCUUGCCCUCUGUGGGGCCUUUGGGUUGGGCAGUGGGUGGCUUGGAAGAGCCCUGCUCUGACUUUACCCUCCUCA